CAGCAGCCGCGGUAAUACGUAGGUGGCAAGCGUUGUCCGGAAUUAUUGGGCGUAAAGCGCGCGCAGGUGGUUUAAUAAGUCUGAUGUGAAAGCCCCCGGCUCAACCGGGGAGGGUCAUUGGAAACUGGGGAACUUGAGUGCAGAAGAGGAGAGUGGAAUUCCAUGUGUAGCGGUGAAAUGCGUAGAUAUAUGGAGGAACACCAGUGGCGAAGGCGACUCUCUGGUCUGUAACUGACGCUGAGGCUCGAAAGCGUGGGUAGCAAACAGGAUUAGAUACCCCUGUAGUCCCUGUCUCUUAUAC
rnacentral:rRNA from 1 species